CAGUUUUAAUAUCAACAUAUUAAUAAUGUGGAUGAAAAUUAAGCAUGUGGAUAUACAUGAAGGAGUUAUUAAUAAAUACAG